CCUUUCUUAUUUGCCGCGCCAAAUUGAUAGUUUUUUCAAUUUAUAUUAACCCUAAAAAAAUCAUGUCUUUCUCUAUUUCUCUCUCUCUCUCUCUCACUCUCUCUUCAGUUUCUUUAUCUGUAAAAGAAGAAGAAGAAGAAGGAUGUUUUACUCUCAGACGUUUCUUGCUCGGAAGGGCCCUCUGGGUACAGUGUGGUGCGCCGCUCAUCUUCAACACCGCCUCAAGAAGUCUCACUAUACCUCCACCGAUAUCUCCUCCACCGUCGAUCGCAUUAUGUUUCCAGAAGUUCCCAUUGCGCUGAGAAUGUCAGGCCAUCUCCUGUUAGGUGUUGUUCGGAUAUAUUCGAAGAAAGUUGAUUUCCUUUACCAUGAUUGUAAUGUUGUUCUUGUUGGGUUAAGAAAGGCAUUUACUUCUAUAGAAGUUAAUUUGCCGGAGAAUGCAACAACAGCUAAAUUUGAAUCUGUCACUUUGCCUCCAACAUUUGACCUUGAUGCCUUGGAUGUGGACUUUGACAUUGAUGCUUAUGGGUCUCCGGAUAAUCAUAUGAGGAGUCAAGAGGAAAUAACACUUCAAGAUCAGAUUCCUACUGACAGAGAUCCUUAUGUUGUUAUAUCUUUUGAUGAGGAUGUCAUGAUGGAUACAUUACCACCAGAAGAGGAACUGAAUGCAGGAAUCAGGCCAACGGAGGACAUCGUUCCUCCAUCAGGAGUUGAUACUGAUAUGGCUUCCCCGCAUACCAUUCCUAGUAGUCGGAUUGAAGUGACUUCAGAAACUGUUGAUCUUCAAGAUUCAGGCCCAACUAAUUUAACAGAAGUGCUUAUGGAUUUUGCUGAUCUUCAAGAAACUUGUCCUAGCAACAAGACGGAAUUACAGACUCAGACUCUGGAUUUUCAAGAGCCUGGUCCAAGUAAUCAGACUGAGGUUCUUAAUUCAGCAAUUAACAAUGACAAUUUCCCUCCAGAAAUUGAAGUUUUGCGUGAUCAUGUUGAUGUUUUUAGUUCGGAAAACCUUCCUCCAGUGUUUACCCAUCAGCAAAAUGAUGCAUCUGAACCAAAUAUAUCUUUAGACCAAGGUUUGAAUGAGAAGAAAACUCCCUCUCCAUUUAAGGAGGAUGUCAUACCUUCUGGAGGGCAGUCUUCACCAUUUCAGCAGCGUUCAGAAUCCCCUAAUUCUGCUUCACGAGAUGCACCUGGAAUCUUUGAUUCACAUAUUUCAUUUGGGCGUGUAUCACCUGAACUUGCCAUACGUUCAACGCCAGCUGUUCAGCAGCCAAGACCUAGGACAAGAAAGAGAAAGCAUUUCUUUGAUGAGGCCACAGUGUUAACCAAUAAAUUCAUGAAGAAGGCAUUAGAAAAUUCUAAGGAUAUAUUGAGAAAGAGGAGGGAAAUCCCUUCUACUGCUUUGGGUAUAUGGAAGUUGCGCAACAGUCUAAGAAAGGAGCAAGUCCUUUCCGAGCCUUUGUUAACUGGGUCUUGUGCUGAUCUAUGCAAUCUUUUAAAGGACUAUAUUUCUGGAAAACCUCAUUUGACUCUUGAAAGGGAAGUUACACCAGAGCCCAGGGUUACAACAUCUGCUCCUGCAAUUGAAGUAAUUCCAGAGUGGCGGGAUGCAACUUCUCCUGCUCGUUCAACAGUUGCGAUUUUAGAGUCUAUAGCUGCAACUUCUCCCACUUCUGCAACAGAAAUGAUCUCAGAGAGCAGGACUACAACUUCGCCUGCUCCUGCAACUGAAAACAUUCCAGAGCCUAUGUUUGCACAACCUUCUGUACCUGAAGUUGAACCUGAUCUAGAAAUUGAACGUCUUCGACAACAUGAAGGCCAUGAUGCCAACAUUCUGUUACCUGAACUCCUGCCUUCUCCAGGAAGAUUUCCGCCUUCUCCUUUUAGAAGAGAUGACUUCACUCCCAACUCAAUGAAAAGCUUAGGAUCAGAAACAGCACAUUGGGCUGGAACAAGUGCUGGAACUGAAGUAUUGCCUACACCAGAUAUUGCAGCAUCCACUGGCACUUACACUACUGAUCUGGAAACACCCAGGACGUUUUUGGAAGAGCAAUUUGAUGCAGGGCACACUGGACUUUCAGAUAUUCCUGAAUUUGUUAAUACUGCAGAAGCAGAGGACCUUUAUUUCCUGGAAGCAGACAAUAGCCCAGCUGGUUCUCCAGGCUCUCAAGGCAUUGAUUCACUGUCUGUGAGAACAAGGGCUGUGGCUCAAUAUUUAAAAAGAAACUCUCCGAUAACCCCAGUAUCAGAAGACCUAUCUGGAGAUCUCAGUCUCAACAGGAUCUUACAAGGAAAAACAAGAAAAUUAUGUGCUCGAAUGUUUUUUGAAACACUGAUGCAGUAGAUGAUAGAAAUUGGAGAAUGUUGAAGAAAGUAUAGCAAAUAGAGGAAAAAAGCAAUGAAGACCUGGAAAUUAGAAGUUUUGAAGAGUUAUGGACUUAUUGAUGUACGACAAGAGGAACCUUAUGGUGACAUUGCUUUGAAGUUGACUUCUAGACUGUCAAAGGCCCAAAUAUGAUAUAGGUUUAGCAGGGCUGUUUCUAUCUAGUACUGUGCUUCUCUUUGUAAAGCAGCUCCUUAUUUACAGCUAUUCAUUGUUGGGCUGCUUGGCAAAAGGAUAGAUAUUGAGAAGGAAGAUCAGAAGAGAAUCAAGAGGAACUGUACAGCAAACGGCAAUUGGAAUGUGGAGAUUUUGUGAUAGUUAGUCUACAUCCAAGCUCAUAGAAGUAUUCAGUCUGUAUCAUAGAAUGGUAAUACAGGUGUUGUAAUUAACAACUCAGUUAUGGUCCUAACUUAUUGUAAUUAGAGGUUCAAUCUCGUCAUAUUUUAAUUUAAUUUAAUCCUUUUUAGUGGUGA